rnacentral:rRNA from 1 species
UACAGAGGUCCCAAGCGUUGUUCGGAUUCACUGGGCGUAAAGGGUGCGUAGGUGGUCAGGUAAGUCUGAUGUGAAAGCUCUGGGCUCAACCCAGAAAUGGCAUUGGAUACUAUCUGGCUAGAGGAAUGGAGGGGGGACUGGAAUACUUGGUGUAGCAGUGAAAUGCGCAGAUAUCAGGAGGAACACCGGUGGCGAAGGCGGGUCUCUGGGCCGAUACUGACGCUGAGGAGCGAAAGCGUGGGGAGCGAACAGG